AUUGAACGCUGGCGGCAUGCCUUACACAUGCAAGUCGAACGGCAGCACGGGUGCUUGCACCUGGUGGCGAGUGGCGAACGGGUGAGUAAUAUAUCGGAACGUACCUUAUUGUGGGGGAUAACGCAGCGAAAGCUGUGCUAAUACCGCAUAAUCCCUAAGGGGGAAAGCGGGGGACCGUAAGGCCUCGCGCAAUUAGAGCGGCCGAUACCUGAUUAGCUAGUUGGUGAGGUAAAGGCUCACCAAGGCAACGAUCAGUAGCUGGUCUGAGAGGACGAUCAGACACACUGGGACUGAGACACGGCCCAGACUCCUACGGGAGGCAGCAGUGGGGAAUUUUGGACAAUGGAGGCAACCCUGAUCCAGCAAUGCCGCGUGAGUGAAGAAGGCCUUCGGGUUGUAAAGCUCUUUUGUCAGGGAAGAAACAGCAGCUCUAACACAGUUUGCGAAUGACGGUACCUGAAGAAUAAGCACCGGCUAACUACGUGCCAGCCGCCGCAGUAA
rnacentral:rRNA from 1 species